rnacentral:rRNA from 1 species
GAUGAGCCCGCACUUGAUUAGUUUGUUGGUAGGGUAAUGGCCUACCAAGACUAUGAUCAAUAGCUGAUUUGAGAGGAUGAUCAGCCACAUUGGGACUGAGACACGGCCCAAACUCCUACGGGAGGCAGCAGUGGGGAAUCUUGCACAAUGGAGGAAACUCUGAUGCAGCGAUGCCGCGUGAGUGAAGAAGGCCUUUGGGUUGUAAAGCUCUUUCGUCGGGGAAGAAAAUGACUGUACCCGAAUAAGAAGGUCCGGCUAACUUCGUGCCAGCAGCCGCGGUAAUACGAAGGGACCUAGCGUAGUUCGGAAUUACUGGGCUUAAAGAGUUCGUAGGUGGUUGAAAAAGUUGGUGGUGAAAUCCCAGAGCUUAACUCUGGAACUGCCAUCAAAACUUUUCAGCUAGAGUAUGAUAGAGGAAAGCAGAAUUUCUAGUGUAGAGGUGAAAUUCGUAGAUAUUAGAAAGAAUACCAAUUGCGAAGGCAGCUUUCUGGAUCAUUACUGACACUGAGGAACGAAAGCAUGGGUAGCGAAGAGGAUUAGAUACCCUCGUAGUCCAUGCCGUAAACGAUGUGUGUUAGACGUUGGAAAUUUAUUUUCAGUGUCGCAGGGAAACCGAUAAACACACCGCCUGGGGAGUACGACCGCAAGGUUAAAACUCAAAUGAAUUGACGGGGACCCGCACAAGUAGUGGAGCAUGUGGUUUAAUUCGAAGAUACGCGCAGAACCUUACCAACACUUGACAUGUUCGUCGCGACUCUAAGAGAUUAGAGUUUUCGGUUCGGCCGGACGAAACACAGGUGCUGCAUGGCUGUCGUCAGCUCGUGUCGUGAGAUGUUGGGUUAAGUCCCGCAACGAGCGCAACCCUCACUUUUAGUUGCCAUCAUUAAGUUGGGCACUCUGAAAGAACUGCCAGUGAUAAGCUGGAGGAAGGUGGGGAUGACGUCAAGUCCUCAUGGCCCUUACGUGUUGGGCUACACACGUGCUACAAUGGCAUCUACAACAGGAAGCAAAACGGCAACGUUAAGCAAAUCCCGAAAAGAUGCCUCAGUUCGGAUUGCACUCUGCAACUCGAGUGCAUGAAGCUGGAAUUACUAGUAAUCGUGGAUCAGCGUGCCACGGUGAAUGCGUUCCCGGGUCUUGUACACACCGCCCGUCACACCAUGGGAGUUGGUUCUACCUUAAGGCAAGGU